AUAAUACUCCCUCCGUCUGGAAUUACUUGUCACGGAAAUGGAUAAAAAUGGAUGUAUCUAAAACUAAAAUACAUCUAGAUACAUCCAUUUCUUCGACAAGUAUUUUCGGACGGAGGGAGUACCAA
rnacentral:pre_miRNA from 1 species